AGAGAGAGACAUGCGCGCAUAUCAAUAAGCGGAGGAAAAGAAACUAACAAGGAUUCCCUUAGUAACGGCGAGUGAAGCGGGAAGAGCUCAAAUUUGAAAUCUUCAAGGUUCUACCUUGACGAAUUGUAGUUUAUAGAAGUGUUUUCUGUUAGUGGAGUGGCAAAAGGUUCUUUGGAAUAGGACAUCAUAGAGGGUGAGAAUCCCGUAUUUGGUCAUUCCUCCUAGCGUUGUGAUACACUUUCAAAGAGUCGGAUUGUUUGGGAAUGCAGGCCAAAGAUGGGUGGUAAAUUUCAUCUAAAGCUAAAUAUUGGCGAGAGACCGAUAGCGAACAAGUACCGUGAGGGAAAGAUGAAAAGAACUUUGAAAAGAGAGUUAAACAGUACGUGAAAUUGUCAAAAGGGAAGCGUUUGACACCAGUGUUGUUUUUCCGAAAAUCAAUUACGAAUGUUUUAUUUUUGAGGAGUUAUGACUUCAUCGGCUUGCUUCUCUCUUUACGAAACUUUCUUAAUGCACUUUUCGGUUAACAAGUCAACAUCAAUUUCUUUUGUUGUAAAAGGGUAUGAGGAAGGUGGCUUUCUUUUCGGAGAAAGUGUUUAUAGCCUUGUGCCUCUGCAAUCGGAGAGAUUGAGGUCUGCAGCGUAGAUCCUUCGGGGUUAGAUACAGUUUGUGCUAAGUUAUAGCUUUUCAUAGACAACUUGUUGACUAUGUUUAGUCUUGUAGCUUACUCGCUUAUGCUAUUUUACCUACGCUUAGGAUGUUGAUAGUCACAGCGUGUAC
rnacentral:rRNA from 1 species